UACGGAGGGUGCAAGCGUUAUCCGGAUUCACUGGGCUUAAAGGGUGCGUAGGUGGGCAGGUAAGUCAGUGGUGAAAUCUCUGGGCUUAACCCGGAAACUGCCGUUGAUACUAUCUGUCUUGAAUAUAGUGGAGGUGAGCGGAAUAUGUCAUGUAGCGGUGAAAUGCUUAGAUAUGACAUAGAACAUCGAUUGCGAAGGCAGCUCGCUGCACUAUGAUUGACACUGAGGCACGAAAGCGUGGGGAUCAAACAGG
rnacentral:rRNA from 1 species